CAACACAGUGACUGUCAAAGAGCUCAUAAGAGAUUGGGAACUGCUUUUGCAAUAAGCAAAGUCAAUGAAGAAAGUAAGAGGAUUGCAAAGGUUUCCCCACUGAUUCUGCCAACAGAAAUGUUUUUAUUGUGCUGCUUUGGACUGUAAUUCAUCAAGCAACCAGAGAGAAAAGAAGGCUCUUUACUGUCUGCUAAGCCUGAAAAAUACUUGGAAAGUACUUUGCUUCCCUGGGCUUGGGUCAUGGACAAGCAGUGAAACAUUUCCAACUACAAUUUAAAGGAAUACAUGUCAUUUAUUUAAAACAUAAAUCAGCAAACAGAGAGACAUAAAAUUACUAGUGGACUGCUUCAAGUUCAGAAGCCACUGCCCUGGUAGAGGAGUUACCAACGAUCACACAUCCUAUAGGAAUCCGACUACAGUGGCCCUGAGCUGAAACAGCAUGCGUUCCAUGCUCCUUUGCAUAAUUUGCCUACUUCUUCUCAUAUUUUGUAAAUAUAAAAUCUACUUCUGG
rnacentral:lncRNA from 1 species